AGGCCUUCGGGUUGUAAACCGCUUUUGUCCGGGAAGAAACGGCCUGGUCUAAUACCUCGGGCUCAUGACGGUACCUGAAGAAUAAGCACCGGCUAACUACGUGCCAGCAGCCGCGGUA
rnacentral:rRNA from 1 species